rnacentral:misc_RNA from 1 species
GUCACCCAGAUGCAGGCCCUCAGCGUAUAGGCGCCAAUCAUAUUGGUUCAAAAAGGUCUCCUUUUAGUUCAUUAUUACUUGCCUUUUGGCUUUUGAAUCUGUUUUCUCUUAUAAUUGUGUUCUAAAAUGGUUGUCUUAAGUGGGGAAAACCAUCGCUUAUCAACCUCUAUGAUUUUAAUUGAAAGAUCAAGCCUGAAUAGAGGAAUUAUAAUUUGAUAUGGGUGAAAAAUUGUUAGUCUGUUUCUUAUUAGAAUGAAAUAUUCACAGAAUUAGGCUUAGAUAUGCUGUAGAAAUUGGCGGUAGUAAUCGACUAAUUGUGGUUGGGAGCUGCAACAAAAGUUUUGUGGUAAUCACUGGUAACAGAACCUUGAAUUGUAAAGUGCGAAAGCUUAUAAAUUUUCAUAUCAUUAUAUUUGAUUUCAUUACCUCAUGGAACAAUUGAGACAAUCUUGUGCAGCCUUGCAUCUGCUUUGUCUCUGUUUUAACAGGUAUGGAGGGCAUUCACUUGGCCUGUCAAGACGCUGUCAAUGGCUUACCUUCAAGGAGACCUGUUAUCGAAAUGACAAUUCCUUCUGUAUUGGACAGGACUAUUUGUUAGAAUCCCUCAAUUAUUAUAAAUCCCUUAAUCGUGUAAAUUAGCUGUAAAUUAGAA